rnacentral:rRNA from 1 species
CCUACGGGUGGCAGCAGUGGGGACUAUUGGGCCAUGGGCGAAAGCCUGACCCAGCAACGCCGCGUGAAGGAAGAAGGCUUUCGGGUUGUAAACUUCUUUUGACAGGGAAGAGCAGAAGACGGUACCUUUCGAAUAAGCCACGGCUAACUACGUGCCAGCAGCCGCGGUAAUACGUAGGUGGCAAGCGUUGUCCGGAUUUACUGGGUGUAAAGGGCGUGUAGCCGGGCAGACAAGUCAGAUGUGAAAUCCGGGGGCUCAACCCCCGAACUGCAUUUGAAACUGUUUGUCUUGUGGAUCGGAGAGGCUGGCGGGAAUCCUAGUGUAGCGGUGGAAUGCGGAGAUAUUAGGAGGAAAACCAGUGGCGAAGGCGGCCUGCUGGACGACAACUGACGGUGAGGCGCGAAAGCGUGGGGAGCAAACAGGAUUAGAUACCCUUGUAGUC